UACGGAGGGUCCAAGCGUUAUCCGGAAUCAUUGGGUUUAAAGGGUCCGUAGGCGGUUUAGUAAGUCAGUGGUGAAAGCCCAUCGCUCAACGGUGGAACGGCCAUUGAUACUGCAAGACUUGAAUUAUUGGGAAGCAACUAGAAUAUGUAGUGUAGCGGUGAAAUGCUUAGAUAUUACAUGGAAUACCAAUUGCGAAGGCAGGUUGCUACCAAUACAUUGACGCUGAUGGACGAAAGCGUGGGGAGCGAACAGG
rnacentral:rRNA from 1 species